GGCCUGUGGCCAAACACACACAAAAUAUAAGGUAGAUCAUAAAUAUUCCAUUACACGGCGGCAAGGAGCUCCCCGCCCAUGAUACCACUGAGGCCUUCAACAUUUCUCGUAAACUACAACACUGAGAUCUUUUUUCCAGAACACGCACAAGUGAUGUGCUUUAUUUAUUACUAUUAAUAAGGCAGAGAAAGGUUUCUCUGUCCCACACAACAUAGAAGGUACUGUAGAUAAUAAAGGUUUCACUACAUGGUGGCCGGGAGCUCCCCACCCAUGCCACCAGUGGGGUCUUGAACCUCCCCACCCAUGCCACCAGUGGGGCCUUCAACCUCCCCACCACCGAUGCCACCGAGGCCUUGAACCGGCAGGUCGGUGUGCUCUUCAAAGGGGAAUGGCUCUAGUUUUGGCUGAG
rnacentral:lncRNA from 1 species